rnacentral:rRNA from 1 species
AUUGAACGCUGGCGGCAGGCCUAACACAUGCAAGUCGAGCGGAUGAAGGGAGCUUGCUCCUGGAUUCAGCGGCGGACGGGUGAGUAAUGCCUAGGAAUCUGCCUGGUAGUGGGGGAUAACGUCCGGAAACGGGCGCUAAUACCGCAUACGUCCUGAGGGAGAAAGUGGGGGAUCUUCGGACCUCACGCUAUCAGAUGAGCCUAGGUCGGAUUAGCUAGUUGGUGGGGUAAAGGCCUACCAAGGCGACGAUCCGUAACUGGUCUGAGAGGAUGAUCAGUCAGCGGAGAAGGGAAACGCGGUCACGAGUCCUAGGGGAGGCAGCGGUGGAGAUAAUAUGAUGAGGGGAAAACGCGUGAUCGCGCCAUGGCGAGUGUGUGAAGAAGGUGUUCAGUUUAAAAAGCGUGUGGAGGUGGUGGGAGGGUAAGUAAGUUAUUGUUGGGCUGUUUUGACAUAAAAAAAAGAAAAAGCCCCGGCAACCUGCGUGCCCGCAGCCGCGGUAAUAGAAGGAAGAGCACACGCUGAAC